GACGAACGCUGGCGGCGUGCUUAACACAUGCAAGUCGAACGGUAAGGCCCUUCGGGGUACACGAGUGGCGAACGGGUGAGUAACACGUGGGUGAUCUGCCCUGCACUUCGGGACAAGCCUGGGAAACUGGGUCUAAUAACGGAUAGGACUCCUGCCUGCAUGGGUGGGGGUGGAAAGCUUUUGCGGUGUGGGAUGGGCCCGCGGCCUAUCAGCUUGUUGGUGGGGUGAUGGCCUACCAAGGCGACGACGGGUAGCCGGCCUGAGAGGGUGACCGGCCACACUGGGACUGAGAUACGGCCCAGACUCCUACAGGAGGCAGCAGUGGGGAAUAUUGCACAAUGGGCGCAAGCCUGAUGCAGCGACGCCGCGUGAGGGAUGACGGCCUUCGGGUUGUAAACCUCUUUCAGCACAGACGAAGCGCAAGUGACGGUAUGUGUAGAAGAAGGACCGGCCAACUACGUGCCAGCAGCCGCAGUAA
rnacentral:rRNA from 1 species